rnacentral:lncRNA from 1 species
UCGAUCCAAAGCAGAGCAAAACAUCGAAGGUCGACAAGAGUCAGACAGAAUGCUUUUUCUGUAAGAAGUUGGAUCAUUGAAAAAAGAACUGUCCAACUUACAUAGCCACCCUUGAUCCAAAUAAGCCUAAGAACAAGAGAAAGAAGCAAACAGUUGCUUCACAAGGUACUUAUAUGAUAACUCCUUAUAAUUUUUCUAUUUGUGAUACUAUUACCUG